GGCCUGGCUCCCCGAAGCCCCUCUCCAAGCCGGCGCGCGCCGCUACGCGAGUUCGCCAACUCCGGCGCAGCCGGGCCGCCGGGGCCCCCAGGGGCCGGGGAAGCGGGAGGACCCAGCCUCCCGCCCGCGCCUCUGCCCUCGCCCUCCGACCUACCGCCGAGUCGGGGGCUGGGGGUCGGCCGCUUCCGCCUGCCGCCCGCGGCCCCUCCCCGGCGCGCGCCAUCCGGCCGCGGGGCAGCCGCCCCCGGCGCAGCCCCUCCUCCCGCGGGGGGCUUCUCCGUCCCGCGUCCCGUCCCUCCGGGCUAAAGCCGGCAGCCCACGUCUAGGGAGGGCGGAGGGGGGAGGAGGAGGAGGAGGAGAGGGAGGAGAGAGGGGAGGGAGGAAAGCGAGAGAAAGGCAGCUGCUUGGAUCCCGUACUUCCCAGAGCCUGCCUGGAGCGCGCACUCUCCGGGUCCCAGCGUCCCAGCCGCGGCCCGCGCCCCGCACCACCUCCUCCUUCGGUCUGGGCACCCCUCGCCCCCUCCCUCCGGCCCCCGCUAGGCUCCGGCAGCGGCCGCCCCCAGCCCCUGCUUGGCCACAUCGUCAACUCUCUGGGCUCCCUCCUGGGACGCGCGCCCUCGCCCCAUCCUUUCUUCCUUCCUUCCUUCCCUCGCGCCCGCCCUCCCUCACCAGGUCUCCCUCCCGGGUCCCGAUUGUCUCCGUCCCCUUCCCAGUCGGCCCGCGCCUCGCCCUGCCCCGUCUCUCCCUCGCACUUCCUGGGUCGCCCGCCGCCGCAGUCUCGCCUAGCCGUGGGAGCCCGAGCCGCCGCUGCCCCGGCUCCAGCCCCCGCAGCCCGCGGCGCCCGCCCGAGGGAGCCCCGGCGCCCGGGGAAGGGAAAAGUGGGCGAGCGCGCCCUCGCCCAGCCCCGCGCCCCAGCCCUGCCCGGCGAGGAAGGACCGGGAAGAUGAACAACGGCGGCAAAGCCGAGAAGGAGAACACCCCGAACGAGGCCAACCUUCAGGAGGAAGAGGUCCGGACCCUAUUUGUCAGUGGUCUCCCUCUGGAUAUCAAACCUCGGGAGCUCUAUCUGCUUUUCAGACCAUUUAAGGGCUACGAGGGUUCUCUUAUAAAGCUCACAUCUAAGCAGCCCGUAGGUUUUGUCAGUUUUGACAGUCGCUCAGAAGCAGAAGCUGCAAAGAAUGCUUUGAAUGGCAUCCGCUUCGAUCCUGAAAUUCCGCAAACACUACGACUAGAGUUUGCUAAGGCAAACACGAAGAUGGCCAAGAACAAACUAGUAGGGACUCCAAACCCCAGUACUCCUCUGCCCAACACUGUACCUCAGUUCAUUGCCAGAGAGCCAUAUGAGCUCACAGUGCCUGCACUUUACCCCAGUAGCCCUGAAGUGUGGGCCCCGUACCCUCUGUACCCAGCGGAGUUAGCGCCUGCUCUACCUCCUCCUGCUUUCACCUAUCCCGCUUCACUGCAUGCCCAGGUUCCCAGCUCCCCAGCUGCCAUGGGGCUGUGCCCCCGUCCCCUCCUUUACCACCUGUCUCAGGAAGGGAGCUCGAACUCUGCCCUUUGCUUAGUGAGCAAGUGGAUUCAGAUGCACAAAGCCAUAAGCCAUGGAUGCGCUGGCUCCCUCCCUCCGAGGCUACUUCUCAGGGCUGGAAGUCCCGUCAGUUCUGCUGAAUGCUAUGUUCCAGGUGUGUGAUGGUGGCUGCAAUCUGUCUUGUGGGUAUUAAUGCAACCUUCACUGGUGGGUGCUGUGCUCAAGCCGUUCUACCAGACUGGAGCAUGCUGUAAACGAACCCAAACAUCCGUAAUUCCAGGCAAAUGCAGAUGAGCCCAGUCAGGAAGCACAGCGGCCGGGGCACGCACGCGGUGACUUCAUUUAGACAAUGGAAGGAGCAGAGAAGGGGUGGGGGUAGUGCUGGGACUCGGGGCGGCCGGCCAGCACGGACCAGACGAGCUGGAGGGUGCCUUGGCACUAGCCAUGUUCAGCGUGGGGCUCACCAGUUCCAGGGCCAGCCGUGGGUUACGAGAGCAGGUCUGGAGGUGGCCUGCUGGGCGCACGGCAUGAGUUCCUGGGGCGGAGGGGUGCGCGCUUGUGGGCGCAGGUGGGGAUGUGUGUUUAGAAUGGGGGGAGCCGUUUCCAACUACAGGAGACUGUUCUCCUGGAGACUAGCCUGUGAACCUUUUAAAAUGUCACCUAGGCUUUUUGUUACAAAUUCAUACCGGUAUUUGGUUUUUACAGCUAUAAAAUGAAAACUAUGUUCUAUGUCUAUUGGGAGUUGAGUAGAGGGGAAUAUUCCUUAUCUGACUUUCGGUAAAAAUGAAUACAUUUAGAGAAACUCUUGGGAAAGAAAUCAUUAGUCAGUAGACCAAGUGUAUGUAGUAGAUGGGGGAAACCAAAUUUUUUUUACUGCUGGGAGAAAGAGCUCAGGGCUGAGUCCGGGGAGAGCAGGCCCCGUCUUGUCUGGCGUGGCAGCCAGCAAGCACCUUGGCCCCAAACCCAGCAGCAGCUGUGCCCGGUCCGGAGGGCCACAGGCUGAUCUUUUUGAUCAAGGACAACGGACAUGAAGUGUUUAAGAAUUAUAGAAUAUUCUUUCAGACAGCAGCAGACAUUCUCCAUGGUCUUAUACGGGACAGUUGCGACCUGCCUCCGGCGAGCUUUGUUCCACCUCUUUUCCUGCCCUGUCUCUCCGGUGACCGCCCUUCGGGAAAGGCUGUGAGCAGAAGCUGCUCAGCAAACAGAGCCUGACCCUCUCCCACCCCGCCCCCAUCCCGCCACGGUGCUCCGUGUUCCCGGAUGUCUCUGUAUUCUGUUUAAAAUGUCCUUGUUAAUACAUUCCAAGGUUUGAACUCCGUUCUUAGCUAAACCCCUUCCUUGUUUACAGGGACUGAAAUAGCCACAUUCUGACCUUCUGUUCAGUCUGGGAACAUCUAUGGCAAUGGGGACGCAUUCUUUUCCCAUGUGAGAAUUACAUCUCCGCAGCACAGUUGGGGAAAAGCUCGGGAAACUAUCAGCUCUCACCCCCCCCUUCUCUUUUCCCUCCAGAGCCUUCCUCAUCGGCUGGAAUGAGCCAGCCCCGUGCACCCUGCUUCCUGCUCAAGAGUCCGGGAAGAAGAAGGGGGCAGAGUCCUGGGAGGCCAGGGUGGGCUGCUGAGAGCCCAGGGGCAGCUGGAGGCCCCCCCCGCCACGGGCCGCUCGGGGAGGCCCCCAUCAGGGCCAGAGCAGCCGCAGACACAGGCUCCGGGUGCUCAGCCGGGGUUGUUAGCCAGACUCAGGAGCCACCAGUCUCAGUGCCACGUGCCAUUAACUGUCCUCCGUCGUUCCCAUUUCCUUUAGUGGCCUGCAUAUGGGGGUGUGAAGUUCUACGUGCAAGUGACUAUGGGGUGGAGGGAGGAGGACGUAGUCUUAGGGAGGAAGAGAAUCCGAGCUAAUCCGUGAGGAAGCGAAACAAAUGGCCUGGACAGUGAGGACUCUAGUUAGAGAGCCGGCGAGCAGGCCCUGCUGGGGGGCGGGGGGCUGCCCGAGGGCUGGGGGAGCGCUCACACGGAGCUCUGAGCGCGAACAGUUUGUAAGACCAGGAGGAAGCUCUGUGCCGCGGGUUCUUGCCCAGAGUGGAUUAUGACCAGGCUUUUGAGGGCCUGGGGCGAUGUGUUAGGGGUUUGGGUCUCGGCGAGGCAGGGGGAGCUGUUUUCGGAAUCUUUGUCACCUGGCUGCCCGCGGCAAAAUGAAGGGUCCGAUCAGAUACGCGUAGCAGGGGAGGCGAGCCCAGGAUGGCGACGGUGGUGUCGGGAAGUGACAGUCAGCCGAGAGCGCGGGGCUGGGUGGAGGGUCGGAGACACAGGCGGAGCGGGGCGGGGGCGGGAGCCUCGUGAGGAAGGUGAGGUGGGGAGUCCGGGUUUAGACGCGGUGCCUGUGCGGUCAUGGCAGAAGUGUCCAGGGCAAAGCUGACAGGAAUGGGGACAGUUGUCCGGGAACUGGCUGUGGAACCAGAAAGGGCCGGAGUAGCAACGUGUUCUUGCCCAGAGACGGUCGCUGAGCUCUCCAGAGGAGAAGGCCCCCCGGCCAGGCGCCUGCGCAGGGCUGGGGGCGACCACGGGUGUCCUUGGCCUGCCGGGCGGCAGCUGUGCUUUCAGCCUCUGGCGCGAGGCGGCGUCCGCACGCGGAGCUGGGGCUGCUGUCGGGGGGCGGCCUCGGCAGCGCGGGCCCCUUAAGGCUCCCAGAGUCCGAGGGCGGCCGAGCGCCGUCCCCUGUGAAUUGUCCCAAAGUAGCAGCCGCCGUAGAGGGACUGCCGUUCCUCAGAAACCGCUUCCUGGAACCAGCCCUCAGCUUGGGCUGCUGGCCCCGGUCAAGGUUGGGAUGACGUGGGACUGUCGCCCCAGCGUCUCGUAUCCGCUCCGUCUAAGCAGGGUUCCCUCUCUGCGGCCGCUGCCUCUUCCCAGUCUGCGGGGGAGGCUCCUCGGCGGUCGGGGGGCCCGUCAGGGCCCGGCUCAUUGGGAAGGCCAGCUGCUGCAGGCCCAGGUACUGCCUGGCGCCGAGGCCCCUGCCACCCACCAGGGCUGCUCCAGGCCACACGCACCCAGUGUCCCCGCUGGGUACAAGUCGGGGGGGCGGCAACAAGAUGCUUUCGAGAGCGGGCCCUUCCCCUCGCCCUGCUCACGGAGCAGCGCGGGUCCUGUGACAUGUGCCCAAGACGGGGUGUGGCCGGCGACGCCCCUCCCGUGCUGGGCUCCAGGGGGAGGCAGAACAGAAAGUGGGAUUUCCAGAAGGCGGGUCUCUCCUCCUGCAUUCCUGGCCUGUCAGAGAGCUCUGCUGAGAAAGGCCGCGGGGGGGGGGGGGGGGGGGGGGGGAGGGGGAGGCGGAGGGGUGGGCACUGCAGGCCUCCCGGAGCUUGCUCUGGGAGCGUCUCCAGCCCCAGGCCCCUCUAGCUGGGCCUCUCCGUGAAAAGCGUAAACUAGCCAGAUAGUGGCAACAAGCUCGAGAGAGGCUGAGUGUUACUGGAAGAUGACAGGGGACGCUCUGCCUGUCCAGAUCCCUGCCCUCGAAAGCGGCGCCCCAGUCUCUCCCGGGGAGAUCGUUCCCUGAACCGUAGCUAUGUGGUCAUGAGGUUGGGUCUUCUGACUUGCCCUUUAUUUCUGCCGUCACCUGCAAACGGGCUGUGCCAAGAUACUCUGGGUCACAGCGUGGGUGCCCCAGCUCAGUGAGGGCCUGGCAUAGAUCGGAUUUACCCAAAUCGUCCAGUUCGUGCUGUUUGCGAGUGUUCGUGGGAGUCACUGCCAAAGACCCAUCCUCCCAAAGAAGUCUAACUUAGGAUGGUUCGAUGGGGUGUUAGUGAUAAUGCUGUUUUCUUUAUAGCUUCUUCCCACACCCAAAUAAGCAGGUCCCUGCACAAAAUUCUAGUGUCUGUGGAGUUACUUCUGCCUAGACCUUUCCUACCACCCGAGAUUUGAGUCUGACGUGUUGGGAAGAUGGCAAGAGGACAGGGACAGAGCAGUAGUUGAGGCUUUACACAAGUGAAGGAAACCGUGGGGCCACGCCGGGACUCUGCAGCUGGCAAAGUCUCGGGGAUGAUUCGAAGGCUUGCUUUCUUUUUUGCCACAAAGCAAAGCACAGGCUUGAAAACACCUUGCCCAGUUUUGGUCCCUUCAAGACUUUGCCACAGCCCCUAUCACACAUCUGUUUUUCUCGAAGAAACAAAUAUAAUAAAAAUGUUUUACUCUUUUACA